rnacentral:rRNA from 1 species
UACGUAGGGUGCAAGCGUUAAUCGGAAUUACUGGGCGUAAAGCGUGCGCAGGCGGUUAUGUAAGUCAGAUGUGAAAUCCCCGGGCUUAACCUGGGAACUGCAUUUGUGACUGCAUAGCUAGAGUACGGGAGAGGGGGAUGGAAUUCCGCGUGUAGCAGUGAAAUGCGUAGAUAUGCGGAGGAACACCGAUGGCGAAGGCAAUCCCCUGGGCCUGUACUGACGCUCAUGCACGAAAGCGUGGGGAGCAAACAGG